GUAAGCCAUCUAGUUAGUUAGUUAGUUAGUUAGUUAGUACAUAUUUUUCGGAAGACUCGGAUCGCCAUCAUGUUGGUAUUGUCCAACGCAGUUUUAAGCUUCGUUACUUCACAUAAAAACAUAAAACUUCUUUAUUUAUUUGUAAGUAUAUUUCUGCACAGCAUUUAUCAACAACCGUUUCCAUGGAAACUGAGGUCUCCAUGACUCCAUGGCAACAAAACUGCCAUGACGAAGUCACUGGCUGUUCUGUGAAUGGGGCAAGGUAGAUUCAACAAGUUUUGUACCAUCAAGUGACAGUUUUACCGUGGAAACGCGGAUUGAAUCAAAGAUAAUGAAUAUGCAAGAAAGACUUCGGAAAUUAAUGAACUGCAGAGUCAACAGGACAACGAACCAAGAAACGAUUAAAGAAAUGAGGGCAGAACGGGUCGACAAACUCCCUGGAUGAUUACGAUAAGAACGUUCUAACUCUCGCAAUUACCUACAAUUUGACAACAGGUCCUGGCCGAACAGAGGGAACAGCGGUUUAUGGCGUGGGUACUGGCCACUCGAAAUCUGGGAUCGUGGGAUUGAAUCCCACUCUAAGCGUGAAUGUUCUGUGUUAUGUAGACAGACGCCAUGCGUCGGGCCGACCUUCUGUCCAGUUAGUCCCACCAAACGUAAAAGAAAAGUUAGAAAAUCCGGCAGAAAAUUUCAUCAGAAACAAAUCAAUGUGCGAUGCCCAAUGUAGCAACUGCAACACGCGUAUCCCUACAGAUCACACUUUUCUUUAUGGCAAACUGAAUUUCCGGCCCAUGCCUUGAUUUCUAGUUCUUUGUAAUUCCACAAUAACAGCAAUUCGCAGAGCAGAAUGACGGUUAUAAAGUUUAAAUUCUAAAAUUUGUUUUUGUCCACUGAAUUCUACACAGAAAUGUAAAAAAGGAGCAUGGUUGAGCAGUAGACCCUACUUGUCUGUGGUGGGUGUGGUGUCGUCACGCCAACCAACCCAGACGAUCAAAUUUAAAAGUUCAGGAGAAAUUCGCCUAAAAACCGAACAAGCAUCGAAGAAUGAGGAUAACUGCCUUGUCCUGUUUAAGGUAGAGUACUAAUUUACCGAUCCCAUUAGACGGGCGGAUUUGACGUGAGCACAAACGAAGGGAUCACGAGUUCAUUUCCCGCUCACGAUAUACCUGUCAUGUGAUUUUUCAUCACAGCCAAUAAUCCAACUCAC